UACGAAGGGGGCUAGCGUUGCUCGGAAUCACUGGGCGUAAAGGGUGCGUAGGCGGGUCUUUAAGUCAGAGGUGAAAUCCUGGAGCUCAACUCCAGAACUGCCUUUGAUACUGAGGAGCUUGAGUUCGGGAGAGGUGAGUGGAACUGCGAGUGUAGAGGUGAAAUUCGUAGAUAUUCGCAAGAACACCAGUGUCGAAGGCGGCUCACUGGCCCGAUACUGACGCUGAGGCACGAAAGCGUGGGGAGCAAACAGG
rnacentral:rRNA from 1 species